rnacentral:rRNA from 1 species
AUACGGAGGGUGCAAGCGUUAAUCGGAAUUACUGGGCGUAAAGCGCUCGUAGGCGGCUUGUAAAGUCGGAUGUGAAAGCCCCGGGCUCAACCUGGGAACUGCAUUCGAUACUGGCAGGCUAGAGUAUAGUAGAGGCAAGUGGAAUUCCGGGUGUAGCGGUGAAAUGCGUAGAUAUCCGGAGGAACAUCAGUGGCGAAGGCGACUUGCUGGACUAAUACUGACGCUAAGGAGCGAAAGCGUGGGGAGCAAACGGGAUUAGAUACCCCAGUAGUCC